GCCUACGGGUGGCUGCAGUAGGGAAUAUUGGACAAUGGGCGCAAGCCUGAUCCAGCCAUGCCGCGUGAGUGAAGAAGGCCCUCGGGUUGUAAAGCUCUUUUGUCCGGAAAGAAAAGCGCCGGGUUAAUACCCUGGUGUCCUGACGGUACCGGAAGAAUAAGCACCGGCUAACUUCGUGCCAGCAGCCGCGGUAAUACGAAGGGUGCAAGCGUUACUCGGAAUUACUGGGCGUAAAGCGUGCGUAGGUGGUUCGUUAAGGCCGAGGUGAAAGCCCUGGGCUCAACCUGGGAAUGGCAUUGGAUACUGGCGGGCUAGAGUGCGGUAGAGGGUAGUGGAAUUCCCGGUGUAGCAGUGAAAUGCGUAGAGAUCGGGAGGAACAUCCGUGGCGAAGGCGACUACCUGGACCAGCACUGACACUGAGGCACGAAAGCGUGGGGAGCAAACAGGAUUAGAUACCCGUGUAGUC
rnacentral:rRNA from 1 species